UACGUAGGGGGCAAGCGUUAUCCGGAUUUACUGGGUGUAAAGGGAGCGCAGACGGCAGUGCAAGUCUGAAGUGAAAGCUCAGGGCUCAACCCUGGAACUGCUUUGGAAACUGUACAGCUAGAGUAUCGGAGGGGUAAGCGGAAUUCCUAGUGUAGCGGUGAAAUGCGUAGAUAUUAGGAGGAACACCGGUGGCGAAGGCGGCUUACUGGACGAUAACUGACGUUGAGGCUCGAAAGCGUGGGGAGCAAAC
rnacentral:rRNA from 1 species